UACGUAGGGUGCAAGCGUUAAUCGGAAUUACUGGGCGUAAAGCGUGCGCAGGCGGUUAUGUAAGACAGAUGUGAAAUGCCCGGGCUUAACCUGGGAACUGCAUUUGUGACUGCAUGGCUAGAGUUUGGCAGAGGGGGGUAGAAUUCCACGUGUAGCAGUGAAAUGCGUAGAUAUGUGGAGGAACACCGAUGGCGAAGGGCAGCCCCCUGGGUCAAGACUGACGCUCAUGCACGAAAGGCGUGGGGAGCAAACGAGGAUUAGAGUACCCC
rnacentral:rRNA from 1 species